CGGAAUGUGGAGGGGAUUGGGGAUCGGCGGUGCCCGCUCGUGGUGCGGAGCAGCAGGACCAUCCGUGUCCCCGCUGUCCCCUAAGUGUGAGGGCGUUUCGUGUCACCUCAGCUGGAUCCUGCUGAUUCACACCUUCCUUAGCACUAAAAACUUGGAGUUGAGGUCCAGGGCACACAGCAAAGGAAAGAUCUCUCCUACACAGCUGAGGAAAAGUCUCUCCCUCGGUGUGAUUGGGUGGAUUUAUUUGCAAAUGCCCUCACAGGUAUUAAUUCAAGAAAACUUGUCUCCUGAUGAAGGAACUUCAUCUCUAUUCUGAAAAAGCCAACACUGCCAGGUUUUAAGCACAGAAGUUGGUGGAUUUUAUUAAAACCCUGAGGCAAGAAAGCUCAUCUGAAAUAGUCAAAUGGAAAUGAAAAGCUCCACAGGUAGAACAGAAUAAAAUCCUAGACUGGAAAAGUUACCUCAUCUUGAUGAACUCCCUACUGUGCUUACCAGAUUAACUUUGGUUUUGGUUAGCAUUAAUUUUAUU